UACGGGGGGAGCAAGCGUUGUUCGGAUUUACUGGGCGUAAAGGGCGCGUAGGCGGUCGUGACAAGUCACUUGUGAAAUCUCCGGGCUUAACUCGGAACGGUCAAGUGAUACUGUCGGACUAGAGUACAGAAGGGGCAACUGGAAUUCUCGGUGUAGCGGUGAAAUGCGUAGAUAUCGAGAGGAACACCUGCGGCGAAGGCGGGUCUCUGGACAGUUCCUGACGCUGAGGCACGAAGGUCAGGGGAGCAAACGGG
rnacentral:rRNA from 1 species